GUCAGCACCCCGCAUUGAAAUUGCGGGGCUAGGCUACGCCUCGCUGCGCGUCCAUGCCCCCAGUUUCAGUUAGUUGACCAGCCUAAGUCUUAAAUGACUACGUUUUUCAGGUCAUAAUACCUACAAAUACGUUGCUAGUUUGUAGCUCUAUUGUUAACAAUUAAACAGUUUUACGAGGGGUAAGACAGUGUUGUUAACCCAACAAGCCUUAAAAACAUUGGCGAAGCGAACUUUAC
rfam:Cyanothece sp. PCC 7822 plasmid Cy782202, complete sequence.